rnacentral:rRNA from 1 species
UACGUAGGGUGCAAGCGUUGUCCGGAAUUAUUGGGCGUAAAGCGCACGUAGGUGGGCGUUUUAAGUCGAUUGUGAAAGCCCCGGGCUCAACCUGGGAACUGCAUUCGAUACUGAACGUCUAGAGUAUGAUAGAGGAAAGUGGAAUUCCCGGUGUAGCGGUGAAAUGCGCAGAUAUCAGGAGGAACACCGGUGGCGAAGGCGGUGGUCUGGGCCGGGAACUGACGCUGAGGAGCGAAAGCGUGGGGAGCGAACAGG